rnacentral:rRNA from 2 species
UGUCUUUUGAGUACCUUCGUUUCCUCGGCGGGUUCGCCCGCCGAUUGGACAAUUUAAACCAUUUGCAGUUGCAAUCAGCGUCUGAAAAAACAUAAUAGUUACAACUUUCAACAACGGAUCUCUUGGUUCUGGCAUCGAUGAAGAACGCAGCGAAAUGCGAUAAGUAGUGUGAAUUGCAGAAUUCAGUGAAUCAUCGAAUCUUUGAACGCACAUUGCGCCCCUUGGUAUUCCAUGGGGCAUGCCUGUUCGAGCGUCAUUUGUACCUUCAAGCUCUGCUUGGUGUUGGGUGUUUGUCUCGCCUCUGCGCGUAGACUCGCCUCAAAACAAUUGGCAGCCGGCGUAUUGAUUUCGGAGCGCAGUACAUCUCGCGCUUUGCAUUCAGAACGACGACGUCCAAAAGUACAUUUU